rnacentral:rRNA from 1 species
ACUCAAAUGAAUUGACGGGGACCCGCACAAGCAGCGGAGCAUGUGGUUUAAUUCGAUGCAACGCGAAGAACCUUACCAGGACUUGACAUCCCUCUGACCGGUAUAGAGAUAUACCCUUUUCUUCGGAAACAGAGGUGACAGGUGGUGCAUGGUUGUCGUCAGCUCGUGUCGUGAGAUGUUGGGUUAAGUCCCGCAACGAGCGCAACCCCUAUCUUUAGUUGCUAACAGGUUAAGCUGAGCACUCUAGAGAGACUGCCGGUGAUAAACCGGAGGAAGGUGGGGAUGACGUCAAAUCAUCAUGCCCUUUAUGUCCUGGGCUACACACGUGCUACAAUGGUCGGUACAGAGGGCAGCAAGCUAGCGAUAGUAAGCUAAUCCCACAAAGCCGAUCCCAGUUCGGAUUGCAGGCUGCAAUUCGCCUGCAUGAAGCCGGAGUUGCUAGUAAUCGUGGAUCAGAAUGCCGCGGUGAAUGCGUUCCCGGGUCUUGUACACACCGCCCGU